rnacentral:rRNA from 1 species
AUUGAACGCUGGCGGCAGGCCUAACACAUGCAAGUCGAGCGAGCGGCGGACGGGUGAGUAAUAUAUGGAGACUGCCCUAUAGAGGGGGAUAACUACUGGACACGGUUGCUAAUCCCGCAUACUCUCGGCUCCCCCAUAUGGGAUUAGCUAGUAGGUGGGGUAAAGGCUCACCUAGGCGACUAUCUCUAGCUGGUCUGAGAGGAUGAUCAGCCAAACGGGGACUGAGAAACGGCCCAGACUCCUACGGAGGCAGCAGUGGGGAAUAUUGCACAAUGGGCGCAAGCCUGAUGCAGCCAGGCCGCGUGUAUGAAGAAGGCCUUAGGGUUGUAAAGUACUUUCAGCGGGGAGGCGUUACCCGCAGAAGAAGCACCGGCUAACUCCGUGCCAGCAGCCGCGGUAAUUC